GGCCCCUUAGCUCAGCUGGAUAGAGCACCGGCCUUCUAAGCCGACGGUCGCAGGUUCGAAUCCUGCAGGGGUCG
rfam:Martelella sp. AD-3, complete genome.